UGUAACAUGUCGCAACGAAGAAUCUGUCAUACGCGAAAAUUUAUCACGGAAUUCGUAAAUUUUUCUUGAUCGUCGCUUUCUCUCCUCAUAUCAUUGUUGCUACAAAUUAAGAUUGGUCCACAGCUGACCUUUAUGGCCAUGCGGGAACAUGCUCGUGAACUGAGGAAUCUGUAUUAAUUAUGUGACGAGUCAAUAGAUGAUAUAGUUCGCACUUGAAAAGGGCUCGAAUCUUGAGCCAAAACGUCGUGCAUCUUUGUAUAUAUUGCGCUAGUUAAUCGAGAAAUAAAUUGAAUUUACUGAUUUUAUUCACUGGCGGACGAAAUUAUUACC